GAGUUUGAACCUGGCUCAGGAUGAACGCUGGCGGCGUGCUUAACACAUGCAAGUCGAACGGACCUGUACUGAAACCUAGUGAUUUACAGGUUAGUGGCGGACGGGUGAGUAACGCGUGGAAAACCUGCCGUAUACUGGGGGAUAACACUUAGAAAUAGGUGCUAAUACCGCAUAAGCGCACGGACCCGCAUGGGACAGUGUGGAAAACAAAAAGCUAAAGCUUUUUAUGGUAUACGAUGGUUCCGCGUCUGAUUAGCUUGUUGGCGGGGUAACGGCCCACCAAGGCGACGAUCAGUAGCCGGCCUGAGAGGGUGAACGGCCACAUUGGGACUGAGACACGGCCCAGACUCCUACGGGAGGCAGCAGUGGGGAAUAUUGCACAAUGGGGGAAACCCUGAUGCAGCGACGCCGCGUGAGUGAAGAAGUAUCUCGGUACGUAAAGCUCUAUCAGCAGGGAAGAAAAAAAGUCUUUGGCUUUGGACGGUACCUGACUAA
rnacentral:rRNA from 1 species